GCAUAAUCUCUGAGGAGAAAAGCAGGGGAUCGCAAGACCUUGCGCUUUUGGAGCGGCCGAUGUCUGAUUAGCUAGUUGGUGAGGUAAAGGCUUACCAAGGCUUCGAUCAGUAGCUGGUCUGAGAGGACGACCAGCCACACUGGGACUGAGACACGGCCCAGACUCCUACGGGAGGCAGCAGUGGGGAAUUUUGGACAAUGGGGGCAACCCUGAUCCAGCCAUGCCGCGUGAGUGAAGAAGGCCUUCGGGUUGUAAAGCUCUUUCAGCCGGAACGAAACGGUCACGGUUAAUAACUGUGAUCACUGACGGUACCGGAAGAGGAAG
rnacentral:rRNA from 1 species